CCACUCUUUUGUUGACCUGGAUUCUUUAACUACUUGCCACGUCAUACUUCUCGGAUAUUCUCUCCGAUGUCCAAAACGUCAGACAUUCACCCAAUCACACCGUGCCAUGUGGCUGGCCGUUACUUCCUCUAUUCUCCAUUCUUAAUUUUUUGAAAUUAAUUUAAUUAGAAGUAAAAACAAAAAAAAAAAAAACCAUUCAAAAUAUAUUUAUUUAUAAUUCAAACAUAGUCCUAAUUUGCUUCGUUUUCCUUUGAUUUCACCAGAAUUUCCCUAAAUUCAAAAUUCUGAAUCUGUUUUUUCUUCGCAUUUAGAGUUUCCGUAUUCUUUUUCUUGGUGUAUGUGGAGUUUAAGCAAAGUUUGGCGCCCGAAUCAACUUUCAUAUAUUUAUUCUCUUCCUCCUGGUUUUAAAUUUGAUUGAAUUUUAUUUUGGAGGUGAAUGAGGAGAAAAUCCGGUUGUAAUUGGUUCGAGUAAAACAAGCUACUGCAAACAUUUUGAUUUAUUGGCAUCCUUCACAAUUGUAUUAUAAUAUGAAUUAUUCUGAUGUUUCUAAUUCAAUUUUAUACUGCUAAAACAUGAUAAACGUUUUUUGAUUUAGUGGAUUAAAUGGAGAUAUCUGCUCUUUUAACCUCAGCAGGGGUCAAUAUAGGCAUUUGUUGUGGGCUUUUUUCAUUGUACUCUAUAUUGAGAAAACAACCAAGCAAUAGAAAUGUAUAUUUUGGACGUAAAUUGGCUGAAAUUAGAUCAUCUAAGCGUAAUGAUCCUAAUUGGUUCGAGAGAUUUGUGCCAUCUCCUAGUUGGAUUUUAAAGGCCUGGGAGACAUCUGAAGAUGUUAUAUUGGCUAUUGGCGGACUGGAUGCUGUUGUUUUUAUGAGGUUGCUUGUAUUCAGCAUUAGAAUUUUCUCCAUAGCUGCAAUUGUGUGCACGGCUAUUGUUCUUCCUUUAAAUUAUUAUGGACAAGAAAUGGAGCACAAGCUUAUUCCUUCCGAGUCACUAGAAGUAUUUACCACUCAAAAUGUUAAAGAAGGUUCUUGGCUUUGGGCUCAUUGUCUUGCAUUGUAUAUCAUUUCGUUUUCUGCCUGCAUACUUCUCUACUUUGAGAAUAAAAGUAUCAUUAAAAGAAGGCUUGCCUAUAUCAAAGGAUCCGCUCAAGAGUUAAGUCAAUUCGUGGUUCUUGUUAGAGGUAUACCUUGGUCAGCAGAAGAGUCUUAUAGUACUUCAUUGAAGAAAUACUUUACAAAGUACUAUCCAUCUUCUUAUCUUUCUCACCAGAUGGUGUACCAUUCCGGGAAAAUUGAGAAGCUGAUGAAAAGUGUCAGGGAGAUGUACGAUGUUCUUUAUCAUGAUAGCCUUCCAUCCUGUAAUUCGUGUGGUUUCCCAAGUACAGGACGUGGACGAUCAAAUGCAUUCAAUAUUCUUGUUAAUGAACCAGAAGUUAUUGAAAAAGGGAAAAUGGAUUUUCAUGACUUGGGUGAUAGUGAUAAGGAGUGUCCAGCAGCUUUUGUGUUCUUUAGGACUCGCUAUGCGGCUGCUUGUGCUGCAAAGGCUCUUCAAUCAUCAAACCCAAUGAUGUGGGUCACUCAUCAGGCUCCAGAGCCUCGGGAUGUAUAUUGGCGAAAUUUAACUAUUCCUUAUAGACUAUUCUGGUUGCGAAGGACCGGAACUCUUCUCGCUACUGCAGCCUUCCUGGUUUUCUUUAUUGCUCCAGUUACUCUUGUGCAGAGUUUGGCUAAUUUAACACAACUUCAGCAGACAUUUCCAUCCUUGAGAGGACUCUUAAAGAUAAAGUAUGUGAAACAGCUGGCAACAGGUUACCUACCUAGUGUCAUAUUGGUAUUGUUUUUCUAUACUGUCCCACCAUUGAUGAUUCUCUUUUCGACUAUUGAGGGGUCAAUCUCUCGAAGUACAAGGAAAAGGGGUGCCUGCUGCAAAGUGCUAUUUUUCACCAUCUGGAAUGUUUUCUUUGUUAACAUUGCAUCUGGAACUAUGCUCAACAAACUGGAUGUUUUUUCUCAACCGAAAAACAUACCUCUACAAUUGGCAGCUGGAGCAGUGCCUGCCGCGGUCAAAUUCUUCAUGACUUAUGUCUUGACAUCAGGUUGGAACAGUUUGGCGUGUGAAGUUGUGCAACUCUGGCCACUUCUUUGUAACAUUAUCUACAAGUUCAUUCUUAGGAAGGAUCAUGGCCCUUUUGAUGGAGAAUACACUUUUCCGUAUCAGACUGAAGUUCCAAGAGUCCUUUUAUUUGGACUUCUUGGUUUCAAUUUUGCAAUCUUGGCACCUUUGAUUCUUCCGCUGUUGCUGGUUUAUUUUUGUCUUGCCUACCUUGUGUACCGUAAUCAGAUCGUCAAUGUUUAUAUCACGGAGUAUGAUAGUGGUGGUAAAUAUUGGCCAAUUGUCCAAAACUCGACAAUAUUCUCGUUGGUGUUGGCUCAAAUUAUGGCCAUAGGCGUCUUUGUGUCAAAAAAAUCAACAGUAUGUUUGGGAUUCACUAUCCCAUUAGCCAUAUGUACCCUUCUGUUCCACGAAUUUUGUAGGCGGAGAUUUCUCCCUGUAUUCUGGAACAUUGCUGCCGAGGUUCUUAUUGAUUUGGAUCAACAAGAUGUAAAAAGUGGAAGAAUGGAGAUCAUACAUCAACGACUUCCAACUGCCUAUUGUCAAUUCGAAUGGAUUUAUGGUCGUUCUAGAAUGAAAACGAAGUACCUUUCUGAUGAUGAAGACACUCAAAGGCAUACAAAAGAACUUAAGACAGAAAGUGAAUUCAGCCAAGAAAAAAGAACAGAUGAUUUUGUAGCUUCUAUAGACAAAUCAUGGCCUAUGGAUCACACUGUGCAAGUGGAACCCAAAACAGGUAUUGGGAUAGAGACUACUAUAGGAGGACACGAAGACGAGAAGAUAAUGAAGGCAUGAACUUCAUUGAGUCUGUCUUCUAGCAGCAUGAGUCAUGAAGCAAGAUCUUUAGUGCAACUUUGCAAGAGUGAAUGAUUUAAGUUUUAUUCAUUGAAUGAUAUAAGUUUUUAAUUGAAUAGAUGAUGAACAUUAUUUCUUAAUUCUUAUGAUGGUGAUGUCAAAUAUCUUAAUUUGUGUGAAUUUAGCUUCAGUCGCCUUGCCUUGAAAUGAUGUCAAUCUGGAUAUCAAAUGGUGUGUGUGUUAUCAUUUUUUAACUACGUUAAUAUGUUGCAUUUUGAUGAUUUUGGCAGAUAGGACAGUAUAUAGUGUUAAAUGGUGGUGUGAUAACAGUUGAAGAACUUGCACCAUACCUGGAUGUACAAACCGAAAAAGAGGCAAAUAUAUCUUCGUUGGAAAUUUUUUGUAGUCAAUGACAAAGUUGGUGAUAGCUACAAGCAUU